UACGGGGGGGAGCAAGCGUUGUUCGGAUUUACUGGGCGUAAAGGGCGCGUAGGCGGCCACCGCAAGUCGACUGUGAAAUCUCCGGGCUUAACCCGGAAAGGUCAGCCGAUACUGCGGGGCUAGAGUGCAGAAGGGGCAACUGGAAUUCUCGGUGUAGCGGUGAAAUGCGUAGAUAUCGAGAGGAACACCUGCGGCGAAGGCGGGUUGCUGGGCUGACACUGACGCUGAGGCGACGAAAGGCUAGGGGAGCGAACGGG
rnacentral:rRNA from 1 species